UUUGAGGUUGCUAUUGCAGCUGGAGCAAAGGAAGUCGCAGUAUUUGCAUCAGCUUCUGAAGCUUUUUCUAAAUCAAACAUCAAUUGUAGCAUUAAAGAAAGCCUUGCCCGUUAUCUUGAUGUCACUCUUGCUGCAAAGAAAUUAGCCAUACCUGUAAGAGGGGGAAGGAAUGUAUACAUGCAAUUUUCUUAAUGGAUCAGAAUUCACAAGGACAAAAAGGGGAUCAGGCUGCUUACUUUGCAAACCAUUUACCGGUGGAACUUUUUCCAGUUAUCAUUGUAUAUGACUGCAAGGAUAACAAAGGAGUAAAUUCCAAACAACAGAGAUGCAAAUCUAAAGAAGAAAAAAUGACCACUUUAACAAGCUCAGCAAGUCCAGCUCCAAACCUACUGUGAAUAUAAUCAUAAUCCAUGUAAGAAUCAUCAAGCGUAUCAUGCAAAAGUCCUGCAGCAACAACCGUCACAUUAGCACCAAUCUUCGCCAACAAAAGCACCGUCUCCACACAAUGUUGCAAACAAAUGCAGAUAAUUUGAAUGAGUGGAACGAUAAGAGGCAGAAACGAAUCCUUGACGACUAUAUGUUGCGUAUGUCCUAUUAUGAUUCUGCUGUUAAGCUUGCAGAAAGCAGCAAUAUACAGAUUCAUCUUCGAGCGGCUAGAGACCAACUCUCAACCUGCGAAUGUGGAGGCUAUUUUAUCUACAACAAAUAAUCAAAAAUUAACAGUGCAUCAUAGUCAAAUUAAUCUGAACGAUUGGCUCCGGCAUCUCUCGAUGACCAAGGUUUCCAAGACAUGAAACAUCUUUGCUGUAUUAUUGAUGUGAAAAUUGCACCUUAAUUCGGUACAGAGUUCAGAAAAUUGGGAGCCCUAAUCCUUCGUUCCUUUCAUCCUCCUCUCCGUCGGUUAUGAAAUCCUUCGUUCCUUUCAUCCUCCUCUCUGUCGGUUACGACUUCACUCUAGCAAUACCCUCCCACUUUCUUAAAUCAUUAAUUGCCAACGAUGAGUAUUAUUGCCCUCAUCAUCUCCGCACCUCCCCUGCCAUCAUCUCCCCAGUUCUUAGAUUUUGGGCAUUUGUUCGGAUCAAGAAGGAAAAUUAUCGAAGAAGGCUUGGUGACUAUGGAGGCAUGAUGAUGAGAGUGAUAUCGAGAGUAGAGGAAAUGAUGGUGCAGUGCUCUGUGGAACCAGUAGUAGAGGAACUCGACUGGACCCAUAUGAAGCAAAGCCAUCAUUACUGCUCCAUCAGACCUCCAAAAAGUUCUUCUGUUGGUGGUCAGCGCUUAUGACAGGAUAGCAAUCAAAAUUAAUGGAAGUGAAGCUGUUACCAAUUUUGACACAACUACUUAUGAUGGUGAAAUACUUCCUCAAACCAAUAAUAGUGGCACAAAUAGCACUGAAUAAUGUGGAUGCUGCGAUACAAAGUUUCAAAAAACCACUAGAAUUAGAGCCAAAUGAUGGAAAAAUAAAGGAGGAACUUCUUGUUGUGAACAAGAAGGUAAGUGGAAUUAUGAGGCCAUUUGACUGCAUCUUCAAUUACUCGAGGAUUUUAUAUAAUAUCUCUAGCGAUUGAAAGAAGCUAAAAUCAAAACAUGGAAAAGUUCAACUUGGCAACAUCACUGUGGAUAUGGUGCUCAUCUUAACAAAUUAUGGAUAUGUCAAUUUUAUGUUUCCCAUGUGGCUAUGUGGGCAACACACCUAUUACUAGCACAUAGCCGAUAGUGUGCGGAUAACGUUAAUUGAUCUCAAAUCUUUGAAUUUUGAUAGGUUAUAGGUGGAAUGAGAGGAAUGACUGGAUUAUUGUGAGAAACAUUAUUACUUGAUCCUGAUGACGUGAGUUUGGUUGUAAUAUAUGCUAUGUAUUGAAGACAAGUGCAUUUUUUUUAAAAAUAUUGCAAAAAAAUAAAAAUUUGAUACAACAUCAAUAGACUUUUGGUGU